rnacentral:tRNA from 1 species
GGAGAGAUGGCUGAGUGGACGAAAGCGGCCGCCUGCUAAGCGGUUGUGGGGUUGUUAAGACUCCACCCCGGGUUCGAAUCCCGGUCUCUCCGCCA